GAUGAACGCUGGCGGCGUGCCUAAUACAUGCAAGUCGAGCGAACAGAUGAGGAGCUUGCUCCUCUGACGUUAGCGGCGGACGGGUGAGUAACACGUGGAUAACCUACCUAUAAGACUGGGAUAGCUUCGGGAAACCGGAGCUAAUACCGGAUAAUAUAUUGAACCGCAUGGUUCAAUAGUGAAAGACGGUUUUGCUGUCACUUAUAGAUGGAUCCGCGCCGCAUUAGCUAGUUGGUAUGGUAACGGCUUACCAAGGCAACGAUGCGUAGCCGACCUGAGAGGGUGAUCGGCCACACUGGAACUGAGACACGGUCCAGACUCCUACGGGAGGCAGCAGUAGGGAAUCUUCCGCAAUGGGCGAAAGCCUGACGGAGCAACGCCGCGUGAGUGAUGAAGGUCUUCGGAUCGUAAAACUCUGUUAUUAGGGAAGAACAAAUGUGUAAGUAACUAUGCACGUCUUGACGGUACCUAAUCAGAAAGCCACGGCUAACUACGUG
rnacentral:rRNA from 1 species